rnacentral:rRNA from 1 species
AUUGAACGCUGGCGGCAUGCCUUACACAUGCAAGUCGAACGGCAGCACGGGUGCUUGCACCUGGUGGCGAGUGGCGAACGGGUGAGUAAUACAUCGGAACAUGUCCUGUAGUGGGGGAUAGCCCGGCGAAAGCCGGAUUAAUACCGCAUACGAUCUACGGAUGAAAGCGGGGGGCCUUCGGGCCUCGCGCUAUAGGGUUGGCCGAUGGCUGAUUAGCUAGUUGGUGGGGUAAAGGCCUACCAAGGCGACGAUCAGUAGCUGGUCUGAGAGGACGACCAGCCACACUGGGACUGAGACACGGCCCAGACUCCUACGGGAGGCAGCAGUGGGGAAUUUUGGACAAAGGGCGAAAGCCUGAUCCAGCAAUGCCGCGUGUGUGAAGAAGGCCUUCGGGUUGUAAAGCACUUUUGUCCGGAAAGAAAUCCUUGGCCCUAAUACGGUCGGGGGAUGACGGUACCGGAAGAAUAAGCACCGGCUAACUACGUG